rnacentral:rRNA from 1 species
UCUUGGUUCUCGCAUCGAUGAAGAACGCAGCGAAAUGCGAUAAGUAAUGUGAAUUGCAGAAUUCAGUGAAUCAUCGAAUCUUUGAACGCACAUUGCGCCCCUUGGUAUUCCGAGGGGCAUGCCUGUUCGAGCGUCAUUACACCACUCAAGCACUGCUUGGUAUUGGGCAUCGUCCGUCGAAAGACGGGCGUGCCUCGAAGACCUCGGCGGGGCCUAACCGGCUUCGGGCGUAGUAGAGUUAAAUCGAACGUCUUAUAAGUCUGGUUAGAACCCAUUGCCGUAAAACCUUUAUUUUUCUAGGUUGACCUCGGAUCAGGUAGGGAUACCCGCUGAACUUAAGCAUAUCAAUAAGCGGAGGAAAAGAAACCAACAGGGAUUGCCCUAGUAACGGCGAGUGAAGCGGCAAUAGCUCAAAUUUGAAAGCUGGCCUCUGGUCCGCAUUGUAAUUUGUAGAGGAUGCUUUUAGGCAGCCGCCGGUCUAAGUUCCUUGGAACAGGACGUCAUAGAGGGUGAGAAUCCCGUAUGUGACCGGCUCAGGCACCUUCUGUAAAGCUCCUUCGACGAGUCGAGUUGUUUGGGAAUGCAGCUCUAAAUGGGAGGUAAAUUUCUUCUAAAGCUAAAUACCGGCGAGAGACCGAUAGCGCACAAGUAGAGUGAUCGAAAGAUGAAAAGCACUUUGGAAAGAGAGUUAAAAAGCACGUGAAAUUGUUGAAAGGGAAGCGCUUGCAAUCAGACUUGGCCUCGAGUGUUCAACCGGUCUUCUGACCGGCCUAUUCAUUCGGGGCCAGGCCAGCAUCAGUUUCGGCGGCCGGAUAAAGGCCUUGGGAAUGUGGCUUUUCCUUCGGGGGAAGUGUUAUAGCCCAGGGUGUAAUACGGCCAGCUGGGACUGAGGUCCGC